rnacentral:tRNA from 1 species
GCCGAUGUAGCUCAGUGGUAGAGCAGCGGUUUUGUAAACCGCGGGCCAGGAGUUCGAAUCUCCUCAUCGGCU